rnacentral:rRNA from 1 species
AUACGGAGGAUGCGAGCGUUAUCCGGAUUUAUUGGGUUUAAAGGGUGCGUAGGCGGAAAGGUAAGUCAGCGGUGAAACUCAGGUGCUCAACACCUGCCGUGCCGUUGAUACUGUUUUUCUGGAAUGCGGAUGCUGUGGGAGGAAUGCGUGGUGUAGCGGUGAAAUGCAUAGAUAUCACACAGAACACCGAUUGCGAAGGCAUCUCACAAAUCCGUGAUUGACGCUGAGGCACGAAAGUGUGGGGAUCGAACAGGAUUAGAUACCCUGGUAGCCCACACUGUAAACGAUGAUAACUCGCUGUUGGCGAUAUACAGUCAGUGGCCAAGCGAAAGCGAUAAGUUAUCCACCUGGGGAGUACGUCGGCAACGAUGAAACUCAAAUGAAUUGACGGGG